AAAUUGAAGAGUUUGAUCAUGGCUCAGAUUGAACGCUGGCGGCAGGCCUAACACAUGCAAGUCGAGCGGUAGCACAGAGAGCUUGCUCUCGGGUGACGAGCGGCGGACGGGUGAGUAAUGUCUGGGAAACUGCCUGAUGGAGGGGGAUAACUACUGGAAACGGUAGCUAAUACCGCAUAAUGUCGCAAGACCAAAGUGGGGGACCUUCGGGCCUCAUGCCAUCAGAUGUGCCCAGAUGGGAUUAGCUAGUAGGUGGGGUAACGGCUCACCUAGGCGACGAUCCCUAGCUGGUCUGAGAGGAUGACCAGCCACACUGGAACUGAGACACGGUCCAGACUCCUACGGGAGGCAGCAGUGGGGAAUAUUGCACAAUGGGCGCAAGCCUGAUGCAGCCAUGCCGCGUGUGUGAAGAAGGCCUUCGGGUUGUAAAGCACUUUCAGCGGGGAGGAAGGCGGUAAGGUUAAUAACCUUGGCGAUUGACGUUACCCGCAGAAGAAGCACCGGCUAACUCCGUGCCAGCAGCCGCGGUAAUACGGAGGGUGCAAGCGUUAAUCGGAAUUACUGGGCGUAAAGCGCACGCAGGCGGUCUGUCAAGUCGGAUGUGAAAUCCCCGGGCUCAACCUGGGAACUGCAUUCGAAACUGGCAGGCUAGAGUCUUGUAGAGGGGGGUAGAAUUCCAGGUGUAGCGGUGAAAUGCGUAGAGAUCUGGAGGAAUACCGGUGGCGAAGGCGGCCCCCUGGACAAAGACUGACGCUCAGGUGCGAAAGCGUGGGGAGCAAACAGGAUUAGAUACCCUGGUAGUCCACGCCGUAAACGAUGUCGAUUUGGAGGUUGUGCCCUUGAGGCGUGGCUUCCGGAGCUAACGCGUUAAAUCGACCGCCUGGGGAGUACGGCCGCAAGGUUAAAACUCAAAUGAAUUGACGGGGGCCCGCACAAGCGGUGGAGCAUGUGGUUUAAUUCGAUGCAACGCGAAGAACCUUACCUGGUCUUGACAUCCACAGAACUUUCCAGAGAUGGAUUGGUGCCUUCGGGAACUGUGAGACAGGUGCUGCAUGGCUGUCGUCAGCUCGUGUUGUGAAAUGUUGGGUUAAGUCCCGCAACGAGCGCAACCCUUAUCCUUUGUUGCCAGCGGUUCGGCCGGGAACUCAAAGGAGACUGCCAGUGAUAAACUGGAGGAAGGUGGGGAUGACGUCAAGUCAUCAUGGCCCUUACGACCAGGGCUACACACGUGCUACAAUGGCAUAUACAAAGAGAAGCGACCUCGCGAGAGCAAGCGGACCUCAUAAAGUAUGUCGUAGUCCGGAUUGGAGUCUGCAACUCGACUCCAUGAAGUCGGAAUCGCUAGUAAUCGUAGAUCAGAAUGCUACGGUGAAUACGUUCCCGGGCCUUGUACACACCGCCCGUCACACCAUGGGAGUGGGUUGCAAAAGAAGUAGGUAGCUUAACCUUCGGGAGGGCGCUUACCACUUUGUGAUUCAUGACUGGGGUGAAGUCGUAACAAGGUAACCGUAGGGGAACCUGCGGUUGGAUCACCUCCUUA
rnacentral:rRNA from 1 species